CGGGCGUCCACCACGGUCUCUGCGCUGGGAUCAGCCGGGCUCCCGGUGGAAGCGAGGGAACCCAGCCAUAGCAGCCAUGGCCACUACAAUGGUAGCAGUUGGACUGGCCAUUGCAGCUGCAGGAUUUGCAGGCCGUUAUGUUUUGCAAGGCAUGAAGCAUAUGGAGCCUCAAGUAAAACAAGUUUUUCAAAGUCUACCAAAAUCUGCCUUCAGUGGUGGCUAUUACAGAGGUGGGUUUGAACCCAAAAUGACAAAACGGGAAGCAGCAUUAAUACUAGGUGUAAGCCCUACUGCCAAUAAAGGGAAAAUAAGAGAUGCUCAUCAACGAAUUAUGCUUUUAAAUCAUCCUGACAAAGGAGGAUCUCCUUAUAUAGCAGCCAAAAUCAAUGCAGCUAAAGAUCUACUAGAAGGUCAAGCUAAAAAAUGAAGUAAAUGUAUCAUGAAUUUUAAGUACAUAUUACUUUAUGUAUAUGAGUACUAGCUUUUUAUAAUAAAAUGCCUCAGAGUUACAGCUUUAAAAAAUGAUUUAGCACAAGCUAAAUCUCAAAGCCUUGGUAUAAUUUUUGUUUAAACAUGGGGAUUUUAAAUUAGACUAUACUUUAGAAUAUUUGCAUAUUAAUUAUGGGCAAACACCAUUUGAAGAUUAAUAUUGUUCAUUCCUCAUUUAGCAGAUGAUUUGGGACCUAUGUCUACUCUUCAAGGCAAAGUGAAGAUGACAGUCCUUGCUCUCAGGGAGCCCUCACUUUAAUGGGAGACUGAUAAACUGGUCAUUGGACUGUGUGAUAAAUAGUAUGAUAGAAAUUCACUCAAGCUGUUCAAGUAAGGAGUCUUAUGAGGUUAAAAAAAAAAAAAAAAAAAAGGCUGUUCCAGGUACAGGCAACUGGCCCAGCAACUUGGAUACUUAGAACCUUGUAUUUAAAAGUGGAUUUAGCCACAACUUAGACCUGAGAAAUUGACCUAGGGGUUUGGGUGGGUGUGUAUGUAUUCUAUUUACAUACAUAUAUUAAUAAACAGUAUUUCAUACAUUAAAAAUAGUAUGAUAAAGAUUUCAGAGUACGGGUCUGGCACAAUCAGCUCACUGCAGCCUCAACCUUCUGGGCUCAAGCAAUCCUCCCACCUCAGCCUCCCAAAGUGCUUGGAUUACAGGCAUGAGAAGUAUUUACUUUGUAUUCAGCUAGCCCCUUAAAGUUACUGACCAUUUAUAAAUUAUUCCUUCAGUUGGCUAUUUCUUGACAAUCAAACUUCUAUAAUUGUUAUGAUUAAGCUUAAACACUGUUAGCAAAACUGAAAUGUUCUCAAUAUCAAAAUAUUCAAUUUGGACUAUUAAUUUACACACUAAUAAAUGUAAAUGAUGUUUA